AGGCCCUCACGGCUUCUUUCAAAUACACUUUCUCCCCUCUGAGUUGCCUGUGGAACAGACUCAGGAAGAGGAAUCCGGCUAUAGGGAUGUUCACCAAUGGAGGAGAAGAGACCGUGGUGACGGCUGCUGCUUCCUCUGAUCGGGAACUUACUGAGCUCAGCAACAGGAACGUGCCUGAAAUCAACCUGCAUGCAGUUGAAUCUAUNAGUGACCUGCACUAUGCAUCCAGCAAAACCGAGGGUGCCAAAACCUCAGAAGGGAGCGGCCAAUCUUGGGCCAACAGCCCUCGGACUCCUCACAGCACUUCCUCCAAGCGUUUCAGCUACCCACAUGAAGAGGACACGUCCUUUUUACCAGUUCAGAACUUCCACAUCAUCCCUUUCACCUGCUGCCCAUGCUUUAGUCCUACCUGUUGCCCCACAGGUUUCUUUGCGCUCCUUGGUGUACUAGUAGCAGCUAGCCUUGGCUUAGCCAUACUGGCUGUAUACCUGAGCGUCUUGCAUCGUGAAUCACUUCGGGUCCUUGCCCAGUGGCUGGAGUCGCAAGAGGAAGCUAUCCGGCAGAUGAGAGCUGUGAGCUUACAACUGUGGAGGCAACUCAAUGCCAGUGGGCCUGUGAUUCAAACCUGA
rnacentral:lncRNA from 1 species